CUGAGAAAAUUUUCUUUGUGACGCAAGAACCCUGCUCCAGUACCAAAACCCUUGCAUACAAAUCGGAUCAUCAUCAUAAUCACCUGUUCAUCUGCAAUUGAUUAACCGUAACGCUCAAGCAAUUUCUGUGCUCUUGAUAUUGAGAUAUCAAUCAGAAGUCCAGCUCCGAAAUGGCGUUAACGAACUUUAUACUGACGGUGGUGGGAGUGGGCGCCGUGGUUUUACUGGUGAGGAGCGACAUCAAACAGUCUGCCUCCAUCUUCAAGCGUAACGUCCGUCAAAUUCGCCAUUGGCUCGAGGAAGAGUCCGCUUCCGCCGCUAAGGAAAUGGAGAAGGCAAAGCCAAAGGAGAUACCUAAGAAGGACAUUUCUAAGGAGGACAAGCAUUAGGUUUGACUCAAGUUGAAAUUCUUAUCAGAAACUGUACAAUUCCCUUUAAUGUUUCAAUUUUUUGGUCCGUAAAGUAUUUUCUAUAUCAUUUUCUAGCCCCUCAACUAGUGCCACUCUAUGGUUGUUAAGGUUAACACUAUAAUGAUUGGCGUUUGUAUCCUGGUACAAAUACUAUUUUUCUUCUGAUAUAUACUGAGAUGUACAGAUUAAGCAACAAUGUGAAGAUAUUUGAACUGGUCGGCAGUAACUGGUUGUUGGACGCGA